rnacentral:rRNA from 1 species
AUGGCGAGCCGCGACAAGGUCGGCUGCCCCGCGGCCACGCUGCCCCUCGACCGCCUCCUGGCCACGCUCGCCGCCAACGCGGAGCAGCUGGGGAAGAGGUGGGAGAUCGCCGUCCGCGACCGGAGGGCCAGAGCGGCCGAGCGGAGGAUGGAGGCGGACACGGCGCCGCCGGUGCAGCUGCACACGCCGCUCUUCUACGCCACCUGCGCCCUCGGCGGGGUGCUCAGCACCGGCCUCACCCACCUCGCAGUCACGCCGCUCGACCUCGUCAAGUGCAAUAUGCAGGUUGACCCCAGCAAGUACAGGGACAUCUCUUCUGGCUUUGGUGUGCUGCUCCAAGAGCAGGGUCUCGGUGGGUUCUUCAAAGGCUGGAUGGCCACGCUGGUUGGGUAUAGCAGCCAGGGAGCCUGCAAGUUUGGUUUCUACGAGUACUUCAAGAAGUGCUACUCGGACAUUGCUGGCCCCGAGAAUGCUGACAGGUUGAAGACCGUCAUCUACCUCGCUGCAUCGGCGUCGGCAGAGGUAAUUGCAGAUUUAGCUCUCUGCCCCAUGGAAGCCGUCAAGGUUCGGAUCCAGACGCAGCCUGGAUUCGCUCGAUGCCUAACCGAUGGGCUUCCGAAGCUUGUCCGGUCCGAAGGUGCCUUUGGGCUUUACAAGGGGAUAGUUCCUCUUUGGGGCCGACAAAUUCCUUACACCAUGAUGAAAUUUGCUUGCUUUGAAACCAUUGUUGAGAUGGUGUACAAGCAUGCUGUCCCAAAACCAAAAGAUCAAUGCAGUAAACCACUCCAGCUAGCAGUGAGUUUUGCAGGGGGAUACAUUGCUGGAGUCCUGUGUGCUGCUGUCUCUCAUCCCGCAGACAACCUGGUGUCUUUUCUCAACAACGCAAAGGGAGCCACUGUGGCAGAUGCUAUAACAACCAUUGGGCUGUGGGGCCUUUUCACUCGUGGCCUUCCGCUCCGUAUUAUCAUGGUGGGCACUCUUACUGGAGCGCAAUGGGCAACAUACGACGCGUUUAAAGUAUUUGUUGGGCUACCAACCACUGGAGGAGUCAGCUCUAGUUGUCAUGCUGCCACUACUUUUCACCGAGUAGAUCAUGAGAAGCAGAACUGA